UCCCAUCUAUCGCGUAAGUUCGGGAUAUUACUGUAUUUCAUGUGUAGACAUAAUGGGCUUUAUAAUAGUCCAUGCUUUUUUAUUCACACCAAAUAACAUUUCUGCCUAUUGUUUAGUGCUAGAGAUAGGCCUGUUAUUCUUAUAACUUUCAGCAUGCCCAAAAAUUUUGGUCAGGAUUUGCCCCUGGAAUCAAUCACCAUUGCACAACAUGAGUAAUCUGUCAAUAUAAACUCCCCUGAUGAAGACUCCUAAAUGGAGCUAAAAAUGUUUGUGUGUUUAUUGAAAUCAUGUGCUAGAGUAAGUACUGAGGUUUAAUUUGAAGAGAAUUGCGGCUGCCGUGAGAGGAAUGACGACAGAUAUGCCAUAGUGAGCAUAGGAAGAAUUUGAACUUUGGUCAGAUGUGUGCCUUAUGACACAAGAUGCACAAACUGAGAAAUUGUAAUGGGUAAAUGUGAAAUUUGGACAGUUUUCCAAUGUAUGUUACAACAUUCUUGGAUAAUAAUUAACAUACAGUAAUUAUAAUAAUUUAAAACAGUAACAUUCUUUUUGGAAGACUCUAUAAGUUCACAAUUCAAACUAGCAAUAAAUUAUCAUUGCUCAUUACAUAGAAGCAUAUAAAUUUCUACUUGUUUUGGUAUUAUAGGUAAUAUAAAACUUAGAUUUCAUCAUUAUACCUGAGAUUCCUAAAUAAUGAAUGAAUCGCACAUACAUUAAACUGGGCACUAAAUUCAAAUUAAGACCAAACACCUAACGUCUAUUUUUUUUUUUAAAUUAUAUUACAGGCAGUGCCGUCAAAUGGCUAUUAGAUCUCCCCAAAUUACACAUAUCCCCAUAAAAUAAAUAAAUAAAACUAAAACAGAAUUAUGAACCAGUGGUACGCUUAACUGGGGAAAACAAGAGGGGGAGGAAAGGUCAUCCCAAUCAUUUGCAAAAAGAGAAAAUUGCAUGAUUUUGAAAGACAAAUAUGUCAACUUUAAUAUUGUUGUAAAUGUGUAAGAAAAAUUUUAAAGUGUUUAGAUUUUAUAACAGCGAAAAACAAAUAAUUAGAUUAAAGUGUGUUAAGCGCCAAGAAAUUUUUGUAACAACCAGUAAACAUAAGCGAUGAAACCUGUGGUUUUUAAUAUCUUGAUAACCUGUAAUUAAAAAGUUGGCUGAAGAGGGGCAAUAAAUGCCCGAAACGUGUGUAAUAACAACACGUAUCAACUGAAUAAAACUUGAUGAUGAGUAUUGCCAAGUGCCUGAAGAUAAAUACGAUAAUUAUUUGUGUUUGAAUUACUACUAAUAACUACAAGCACAGUUUCAAAAG